rnacentral:tRNA from 1 species
GUUUGGAUAUCUUAAGUUAAAAGUUUAACUCUGAAGAAGUUAAUAUAGGGUCAACCUUCCAAAUA